AGGCAUGUCACACUCGGUGCCGGAGCACCCUAUCUUAUCUUACUUUAUUCCUUUCAUAAUUUGAUCUCAUUAUAUUUUAAUAUUAAUUAUUUUUCUAAGGAGAAACCAGCGGAGUUUCCCCUAUUUUAUUACCAGUUGACGUAUUUUACUAUUUACCUGUUUGAAAAUUUCAAUAAUAUUUCCAAAAUGAAAUCUUAUCCAUGCUAAUCAUAAUUAUCUCAUCAAUCAUUUGAAAAAUCAUUAUGUAAUUCAAAUCUAUACUCAUUUGUACAAAUUCAUUCAUGCUCCAUUCUUAUAGCAAAAUUCUCAAAUUUGCAUUAAUUUACAUCAUUUGCAAUAAUUAAAUAAAUCCUUAAUUUACAUGAUAUACAAAUUAA
rnacentral:misc_RNA from 1 species